rnacentral:rRNA from 1 species
UAAUACGUAGGGGGCAAGCGUUGUCCGGAAUCAUUGGGCGUAAAGCGCGUGUAGGCGGCUCGAAAAGUCUGGUGUGAAAACUGGAGGCUCAACCUCCAGCUGUCGCUGGAUACUGUCGGGCUUGAGUCCGGAAGAGGAGAGUGGAAUUCCUGGUGUAGCGGUGGAAUGCGCAGAUAUCAGGAGGAACACCAAUGGCGAAGGCAGCUCUCUGGUACGUGACUGACGCUGAGACGCGAAAGCGUGGGGAGCGAACAGGAUUAGAUACCCUGGUAGUCCACGCCGUAAACGAUGGAUGCUAGGUGUGGGUGGUGUCGACUCCAUCCGUGCCGCAGCUAACGCAUUAAGCAUCCCGCCUGGGGAGUACGGCCGCAAGGCUA